UUUAAACCAUCAAGACUUCAGAAGAGCAGAAAGCUAUGCUGUGGACAGGCACCAUUUCUUUAAAGAAAUUCAGUGUGGACAAGGCAUAUGUAUAAAUUUCACUGUUCGUUUUUAUAAGAAGCUGGUAAUCUAGGACCUACGUGUGAACAACUUUAUAUGAAUAUGUUUUGUACUUGGUUACUUGGGCUGGUAUAAUACAUUAUAUUUAAGUUCUUUGAACACUGUGGAUCCCCUAAUGUGUAUGAAUGACUGAGGCUUUGUAAAUUAAGGGACGUUUGUGUGAAUAAAGUUAUUUGAUGGGG